GACGAACGCUGGCGGCGUGCUUAACACAUGCAAGUCGAACGGAAAGGCCCUGCUUGUGUGGGGUGCUCGAGUGGCGAACGGGUGAGUAACACGUGAGAAACCUGCCCUUGACUUUGGGAUAACUUCAGGAAACUGGGUCUAAUACCGGAUAGGUGCUCCUUCUGCAUGGUGGGUGUGGGAAGGGUUCGGCGGUUGGGGAUGGACUCGCGGCUUAUCAGCUUGUGGGUGGGGUAUUGGCUUACCAAGGCUUUGACGGGUAGCCGGCCUGAGGGGGUGACCGGACACAUUGGGAAUGAGAUACGGCCCAGACUCCUACGGGAGGCAGCAGUGGGGAAUAUUGCACAAUGGGAGGAAGCCUGAUGCAGCAACGACGCGUGCGGGAUGACGGCCCUCGGGUUGUAAACCGCUUUCGCCUGUGACGAAGCGUGAGUGAGGGUAAUGGGUAAAGAAGCACCGGCUAACUACGUG
rnacentral:rRNA from 1 species